AUUGAACGCUGGCGGCAGGCUUAACACAUGCAAGUCGAGCGGAUGAAGGGAGCUUGCUCCUGGAUUCAGCGGCGGACGGGUGAGUAAUGCCUAGGAAUCUGCCUGGUAGUGGGGGAUAACGUCCGGAAACGGGCGCUAAUACCGCAUACGUCCUGAGGGAGAAAGUGGGGGAUCUUCGGACUUCACGCUAUCAGAUGAGCCUAGGUCGGAUUAGCUAGUUGGUGGGGUAAAGGCCUACCAAGGCGACGAUCCGUAACUGGUCUGAGAGGAUGAUCAGUCACACUGGAACUGAGACACGGUCCAGACUCCUACGGGAGGCAGCAGUGGGGAAUAUUGGACAAUGGGCGAAAGCCUGAUCCAGCCGUGCCGCGUGUGUGAAGAAGGUCUUCGGAUUGUAAAGCACUUUAAGUGGGGAGGAAGGGCAGUAAGUUAAUACCUUGCUGUUUUGACGUUACCAACAGAAUAAGCACCGGCUAACUUCGUG
rnacentral:rRNA from 1 species